rnacentral:rRNA from 1 species
CAGUCGCCGCGGUAAUACGUAGGUGGCAAGCGUUGUCCGGAAUUAUUGGGCGUAAAGGGCUCGCAGGCGGUUUCUUAAGACUGAUGUGAAAGCCCCCGGCUCAACCGGGGAGGGUCAUUGGAAACUGGGAAACUUAAGUGCAGAAGAGGAGAGUGGAAUUCCACGUGUAGCGGUGAAAUGCGUAGAGAUGUGGAGGAACACCAGUGGCGAAGGCGACUCUCUGGUCUGUAACUGACGCUGAGGAGCGAAAGCGUGGGGAGCGAACAGGAUUAGAGACCCCUGUAGUCCCUGUCUCUUAUAC